rnacentral:rRNA from 1 species
GACGAACGCUGGCAGCGUGCUUAACACAUGCAAGUCGAACGGAAAGGCCCUGCUUUUGUGGGGUGCCCGAGGGGCGCACGGGUGAGUAACCCGUGAGUAUCCCGCCCUUGACUGUGGGAUAACUUCAGGAAACUGGGGCUAAUACCGGAUAGGAGCGCCUGCUGCAUGGUGGGGGUUGGAAAGCUUGGGCGGUGGGGGAUGGACUGGCGGGUUAUCAGCUUGUUGGGGGGGUAGUGGCUUACCAAGGCUUUGACGGGUAGCCGGCCUGAGAGGGUGACCGGCGACAAUGGGACUGAGAUACGGACCAGACGCCUACGGGGGGCAGCAGUGGGGAAUAUUGCACAAUGGGCGGAAGCCUGAUGCAGAAGCGCCGGGAGCGGGAUGACGGCCUUCGGGGUGUAAACCGCUUUAGCCUGUGACGAAGCGGGAGUGACGUUAAUGGGUAAAGAAGCACCGGCUAACUACGUG